UACAGAGGUGGCAAGCGUUGUUCGGAAUUACUGGGCGUAAAGGGCGCGUAGGCGGCCUUCUAAGUCAGACGUGAAAUCCCCCGGCUUAACCUGGGAACUGCGUCUGAUACUGGGAGGCUAGAGUAUGGGAGAGGGAUGUAGAAUUCCAGGUGUAGCGGUGAAAUGCGUAGAUAUCUGGAGGAAUACCGGUGGCGAAGGCGGCAUCCUGGACCGACAUUGACGCUGAGGAGCGAAAGCCAGGGGAGCAAACGGG
rnacentral:rRNA from 1 species